GUCGAGCGGUAAGGCCCCUUCGGGGGUACACGAGCGGCGAACGGGUGAGUAACACGUGAGCAACCUACCCUCAACUUCGGGAUAAGCCUCGGAAACGGGGUCUAAUACCGGAUAUCACUUCCUAUCUCAUGGUUUGGGGUUGAAAGUUCUGGCGGUUGGGGAUGGGCUCGCGGCCUAUCAGCUUGUUGGUGGGGUAAUGGCCUACCAAGGCGUCGACGGGUAGCCGGCCUGAGAGGGCGACCGGCCACACUGGGACUGAGACACGGCCCAGACUCCUACGGGAGGCAGCAGUGGGGAAUAUUGCGCAAUGGACGAAAGUCUGACGCAGCAACGCCGCGUGAGGGAUGACGGCCUUCGGGUUGUAAACCUCUUUCAGCAGGGACGAAGCGAGAGUGACGGUACCUGCAGAAGAAGGACCGGCCAACUACGUGCC
rnacentral:rRNA from 1 species